UUUCUACUACCUUCGUCCGGAAUUACUUGUCGCAAAAAUGAAUAAAAAUGGAUGUAUCUAGAACUAAAAUACAUCUAGAUACAUCCCUUCCUCCGACAAGUAUUUCUCGAUGGAGGGAGUAUGAU
rfam:Triticum aestivum genome assembly, contig: Triticum_aestivum_CS42_TGACv1_scaffold_543533_6DS